rnacentral:lncRNA from 1 species
AAGAAUCUAGAUUUCUCUUUAUUUUUCUGCAUUCUCAUCAGCCAAAAAACGUCCUAAGGGUUUCUCCAAGCUGGUUUUUCAUAUUUUCUGCACCAAGUGAGUUAAUCCUUGCCUUUUUCUUGUAAUUUAUGCGUUUCUAAGACUUUUACAACUAGGUCCUAUUACUAAAUUCAUUAGUUUUUGAUUUUAUGAAUGAUAUUGAAAGUUGAUAUGAAUAUGUGCUGGAAGUUUAUGAGGAAAUAGGAUGAAAUUGAUGCUUUAAUUUGUUUAUGAGAUGAUUUUAUUAGGUAAUUCCAAUAGAAAUUGAUUUGUAGGACCUAAUUGUGAAAAAGUUUGGAAUUAAAGUUUAGUGCUGAAAUUCUGAUUUUCAAAGGUUAUAAGGUAGUUUAAAGUGAUAUAAUAAAGUGUUGAUUGAGAAAAAUCAGCUCAAUUGAGAGGUUAAUUGAGCAGGGACGAAAUUAUCAUUGUUGAAAGUUAAAGGGAAAAAUGGUAAUUAACACCAUGCACUAAAACAGUUUUAGACAGCAGCAGUACUCUGACUUUGAAAAUUCACCAAAAAUUGUAGAGAUCGAAUUAGAGGAUGAAUAAAAUAUUAAAUUAAAGCUUAUUGAGUCUAGUUUCUUAUAAAAGAAACGGUGUAAGCAAUGGAAUUGUAAAUCAUGAGAUAUAAUAGAUUUUGUGAGACAAGGUCAGAAUGAAUUUGGGUUCCCCUGUUCUGACUUUGGAAAAUCAUUAAAAAUUGUACAAAAAUGAUUAUGAGUUAUAAUUUAUAUUCUUAGAAUUCUUAAUGAAUCUAUUUUCUGAAUAAAUAAAGGGAAGCAUCAUCCUAAUUCUGUACAAUGAGAUAAUUAAUUUUUAGUGAAGAGGGGUCAGAACUGUCAUAUAGUGAAACAAGGGAAACUUUAAGGAAUAAACUGUACUUAUUGGCUAAACCAAAAAUUCUGAAAUUUUUAUGGUAAUAAGAUAUGUGAGUCUAGUUUUAGGUAAAAUUAACGGAUCUUAAUUUGGAGUUCUGUAGCUCAAGAUAUAAAUAAUUUAGUGACUGUGACUCAGUGAGGCAGCUUUGAAUGCACUAUAAAUAAUAAUGGAAUUGUAGAGAAAGUUACAUAUGAACAUGAAAUGUAUGAGAUUAAUGAUUAAAUUUAUUUAUUUAGAUCCGGAAAAUUCAAAUACGAAGCAAGAUCGAGGAAAAGAAAAAGUUCGGGAUUAGUAGAUUUUUGGUUACGAACAAGUGUCGAGGUAAGUUCGUGUAACUUGAAUUAUAUUCAUAAAUGCUUGAAAUGUUUGUUAUUGAUGUGAAAAUGAGUUGGAUGUUUAUUGUAUGAUAAUUGAUGAAGUAUUGAUAUUCUUGAUGAAAAGAGGAAAUAAAUCCCGGUUGAAUGAAAGGAAAAUUCGAUGGAUCUCUGAAAAGGAAUUGACGGUAAAAAGGAUCUAGCCCGGACGGGUGAUCCUAUCCUGAUAUAGCCCUCCCGAAGAAUAUGUGGAAAAUGGAUUUAGCCCGGACGGGUAAUCCGAAUUAGGGUCUGAAUUUAGCCUGGACUGGUAAUUCAGAUCCAAGCUCAUUAGAGUAAUUGUCGUUGCAGGGGAUUUAGCCUGGACUGGUAAUCCCGACAAUACUCUGUGAGUUUAUAUUACAGGGGAUUUAGCCUGGACUGGUAAUCCCGCUGUAAGGAUGAGGUUCGCGGGAGUGUGCUCUCUGAAAUGGAAAUGUGCGCACAUGAAUAUGAAUUGACGGACCUGGAUUUGUACACUUAGGUGUACCCCUGAAUAUCCAUCGAAAUUCCAAGUAUUUCAACGGGAUAAAUAUGGAAAAAUAACAAGGAAAUGGAAAUCAUGGAAUUGAUGAGCUCAUCAAUCAUUUAUCUUUGUAAUGAAUUUGUAUGAGGUUGAGUUUGUAUGUGAUAGGUAUAUGUUUAUGUGAAUUGGAUGUGUGCUUGUGUUAUUAAAUGAUGGAUGUAUAAGUAUGGUAAGUAUAACUCCUGUUGCAUGAACUUACUAAGCACAAAGUGCUUACCCUGUUUCUUUUUCCCCUGUUUGUAGAGUUAAGAGCUCGGAAGUCAGAUUUGGUCGGAGACACAUCACACUAUCAAUCUCGAGAUCUCGGUACAUAAAUGAACUUUAUUUUGGAAAUCAAUGGCAUAUAUAAGCUAGUGAAUUAGAUGUUAAUGUGAAAUGAAUGUAUGGUUAGCCAUUGGUGUGGCUAACAAAUUUUGGUUUUCGUAUGUGAUGAAAUUACCUUAUGAAUAUGAUAAAUCUAUCUUGAAAAAAAAAAUUCGGUAAAAUCUGGUAAUACCUCAUACUCUAUUUCAGCGACGAAUACGGGUAGGGGGUAUUACAAAAUUUACUAGAAUUAUUAUUAAAUUUAAUAAUAAAUAAUUUACUUAUAUUUUAAUAUAAUUAUUACCAAAUAUAAUUUAAUAAAAAUAAAAAUAAAAAUAAAUAAUUUAAUAACAUUCUUAAUAUAAUUAUUAUUAAAAUAUGAAUUAAUAAAAAUCAUAACAUAAUCUCAUGGGAUCAUAGUUGCCAAUAUUACAAAUAUUGAUCCAAAAACAAUAAUUAUUCUCAUUUUUAUAUAUAUGAAAAAUAUUAAACAUCUAUACACCAAACAAACCCCAGCAAGCAGAACUCUAUUUUAACUUCUCUAUAUUUUUCCCUAACCUAUUAACAUCAAUUCCAAAAAUAUUCCCCCAAAAAUAUCAAAAAAGAAAAAGGGUCAUGUUGCUGCCAUUGAUGUAUCUUCAAUCUAAAUCACUUUCCAUACUCCCCAUGGCCUUCAAUUAACUUGAUCUCUGCAUCUUGCCAAAACCCCACAUCAGAAACAUGAAUCGGCUUUUUCCACAAACCUAUAAUAGAAAGCAAAAUGUCAAAUCAUGGCACCUUGCUGGCAAAAAAGCAAUGAAGAAAAAAAUCACCUUUAAAAUAUAUACACAUAUAUAUACACACACAAAAAUAAAAAGUGGGUGGAGGAUAACAAUAAGACUUAAGCUAAUUUAGAAACAAACUACAAUGAAAUAGUUCUAAAUAGAAGUCAACAAAUUUAAGUUAAUAGUAGUAAUAAGAUAUUCAUGCCAAUGAGUUUAUAACAAAAGAUCGACAAAAACACUAUGAUUUGUCAAUAACCACAAAAUUGUUAUAAGUGACACUGCAAUUAGCCUCAAAACAAAUCUUAUGCCACCAUAAAAAAAGAUACAAGGAGAGGCUCUAUCUACUUGGUUCUAGAUCCAAAUGGUAAGAAUAGAAGACAUGAUAAUGGAUCACAUUAGGAAUGAGGUGCAUUUUAAUAGAGUUUGAAUUGCCAAAUUUAAGAUAUAUUCUUAUCACAUCGAGUAUGAGGCGCAUCUUAAUAGAGUUUGAAUUACCAAAUUUAAGUUAUAAAUCAGGUUGCUAAAUCAAGAUUAGAUACGAUUUAUCCAUCUAACAGUGCUAGGAUUUACUUGUAUCAAAAAUCAAAUCAGGACCAAUCCAGAAAGAACUAAUAACUUUCAUAAUAAUGAACACCCCUACAUACACCAUGCUCAACACUUGUAACCAAGUUUUUCUUGCCUAUGUUUAGGUUGUUUAAAAGGUUGCAAUUUUGAACAUGUUUUCUAGUAUAGAAUUUUAAGAAGCAAUAAAAAGAUAUAGGACCAAAGUGCCCUGGCAACAAAAUACCAGUAAACGUAACUAAUACAAGUUACAAUGAAGCCCAUCAUACUGGAGGCAGAACAAGUUCAUCUUCAUCCUCCCAUGAUUCCUUGAUAUCAGAGUCAUCAAUAUCUUUAUCAUCCCAUUUGCUUUUAAGUUGUUCCUUUGUAAGGAGAGGUGGAAUCUCAUCCUCUGCAACAAUAGCAUACAACUUCUUGAGCAAAAAAAGGGGGGGUUUCAAGAAAAUGAAACCAUGAAUAAAAUGAAUGACAUAAUGCAAUAGGUUCUCCAACUAAGAUUGGAAACAUACCAUAAUCUUUAGCACUUAUUAACAACUUAGAAACAUAUGAAAUACAUAAUAGAAAUGAAUCUUCUUUAAGGUCUCUUUACACUUUAAAACUCCUAUACAAAACUACGAGGCGACCAUCAGAUAAUGUUUCAAGAAAAGAACUAGUGAAUCCCAGCAAUUGAAGCCAAUACUAAAUUCCUAGGAUGUUGCCACAAUUACUGAUCUUCCACUACAUGCAGUUUUUCUUUUUAAUCGAAAGAAAAAAAAACCCUAAAUUUCUCUUUUUGGUCUGGUAACACCAUAGCCGAUCUCCCAAGAAACUCAAAGCAAACACCUUUGAAACAUCUCAACUCAACCUCAUAAAAUCCAAAACCAAAAACAAGUAAAAGCCUUAAAUUUCAAUAAACCCAAUAAACAUUUAGCUCUAAAAAAAAAAGAAGUUUCCCACAUUCAAGUUCAUACAUAAUAAAACAUACAAAAGAAAAUAGAAUCACUUAUCAGUCAAAGCCCUAAGAAUUAACAACAAAUUCGGGCUAAAAUUAAAACUUAUCCUAGUCUUCCAUCUUUACUUAACAACAACUUGCCUUGUUAUCUUUCCAGCAUUUGUGAAAUAAAAGCAAUGAAAUCAAAUAGGAGAAAUCAGAAAUGCAGUGAAAAAGUAAAAAAAAAAAAAAGAAGGAAAAAAGGGUUGCAACUCUGCAACCAAAGGGUUUUAUUGGCUUAAAAGGAAUGAUGGCUUCAAUAGAUUGACCUAGGUCUCCUCUGUAAUCAAAGGGAAAAAAAAGGAAACGUAGAGAUGGGAAGAAAAGAAAGUUACAGUUUCUUCAUUAUUUCGGCAAAUGUGAGGGGAAAAAUUAAAAUUGGGGGAAAAAUAAUCUUAUUCCAUGCAUUGAAUGACAAUUCAGCGAUGAGCGAAGGGAAUGGCUAUUCAGCCAAUUCCUGUAAUAGACCCUGAAUCAAUUUAGGCUCGUAAUACCAUUACAGUUAACCAAACUAAUAUCAGGUGAUGGGACCGCCGGGCUAGAAUCUACUCAUAAACCCCUAACCAAACAUGUUAUUAGUCUUUCACCAUUGAAAUAAGAAAAAAAAAAUCUUGAGAAACCAUUGUUAAGCCUCCAAGGUUUGGCUAGGACCUUUGCAUGUAAGUUAAUUUUAUACCCAUUUUUUAUGAAUUUUAUAUUUUUGAAAUCAUUGUAUUUUAAUUUAGCUAGCCCAUGGACUAUUUUGAAAUAUUGUUAAAGUUUUUAAAGUUACUAUUGAUGUUCUUGAAGCUUUUUAGAUUUUAAUGGUUGAGUUUGAAGCUUGGUGUUGAAAUAAGACUAUUUUGUAAAGUGGAUUUGGAUAGAUUUAAGUUUAAGGACUAAAUCGAAAGUAUGUUAAUUUUGGCAUGAAUUUCUUGUAAAAUUUCAGUACUUGAGGGUUUUAUAAGGAUGGUAAUGAAUUCGACAUGAUGGUUUAGGGCUUAAUUGUGAAAAGUAAGCUUGUUUCGAUUUUAAGGGAUAAAUUGAACAAAAUGUAAAAUUUUAGGGAAUUUGUGAAAAUGUUAAUAGGAAGUCAUAGGCAUUAAAUUGAAUGUUAUAAUGUAAUUGAGGCUGAUGAAUUGAAAUAAAAUUACUGUAUAGAUCAAGAACUGGUAGGUAAUCGUGGAAAAGAGAAAAUCGCAUACUAGUCCCUGAUACUCCUAUCUUUAUUGGUUGGCCUUGGUAAGUUCAUAAAAUAUUGUCUUGUGUAUUUUAGUAAUGUUUUUUUUAUUGAAUUUUGUAUUUUGGGGAUAUUAAAUGUGAACUUAAAUGCUACAAUUGAUACAAGGUGAGAAAAUGAAUUGAGAUGGAAAUGUCUGUUAUAUGUAAUGAGCUCGGAUGAACAUAGGAUAUGAUACAAUUGGCAUGCCAAUAGGUUAUAUUGUGUGCUUUACGGGAUUGAUAUGUGCUGAGAUGAUGACAGAUGAUAUGAUAUUAUACAUUAAAUGUAUCAAAAUCCAUCAUUUGUUGUGGAUUACCGAGUUAUAUUUAUAGUGAUCUAGGGGAGGAUGUAAAGCCUACGAGCUUGGCAAUUGGUGCCCAGACGUGUUUCUAAAGGGAUGUUAGCCUUUGGGCUAGGCCUAAGCGCCCAGGCAUGUUCUCGGUUGGAUUAACUCGACUGAGCAUUCUAGCGUGUUUUUGGUGGAUAGUCGCGUAUCGAUAGUUCAUAUCAGUUCAUCGGGCUGAAUCUUAAUUGUUAAACAAUUUAAUGACUUGUAUGGAUAUAUGGUGAUGAAUCUUGAUGAAAAAAAUUGAAAAUGUGUUUAUAUUUAUAGAUGUUGUAUGAUGAUUUGAUAUUGAAUUAACUCGUUUACUUGAAAGUUCAUAUGGCUUGAAUAUGAAGUACCCACCUCUUGAUAUGGUUGUGGUGACAGGGUUAAGUAUAGUUAAUUGUUUGUUAUUUAAAAUUUAAAUAAAAGGUAUGUUAUAUUGUUUUAACCUAUGAACUUACUAAGCUCAAUUGAAGCCCACUUUGCUUUGUUUUUCUUUUUUUUUUUGUAGUUGUUGUGUUGCGGAACCAGGUAAUCAGAUCACACUAUCCAGCCAUUUUUUAGUAGACUUUGAAAAUGUUAUAUUUUGGUUUUGUGGCAUGUAAUAAGAGUAAUUUGUAUAUGAACUUGUGUGGUUGUAAUGUAUAUAUGUUGGUGUUUGCACAAAAUGAAGUGUGGUUAAUGGUUAAAUGGUAUGGUUGCUCAUGGUUUGAUGUGGUAAUCUUGAAUGUGAAAUUGAGCUUAGUAUAUGAUGAAAUAAAAUAGGUAAUCGGUCGGUUGAAAUAUGGUAUGAAAUGAAUUGCUAAGUGAGAUUUUGGUUGAACAUAAGGCAUAAUGGUUUUACAUUUGAUCUGGAUGUUAUUUAGGUGUUAUGUAUAAUGGUUAUUUUGUUAGCAAAUGCAUCGGUGAAUAUACCUUGGUAUGUGGUUGUUGGUUAGUGAUAGAAGUUAUGAUAUCUUUGAUGAUUCAUAUGGUAAUUGCUUAGCUAUGCUUAAUCUUGAAUGAUGUUUGUGAUGAUGUCUUAUGGCAUAUUGGUUAGGCAAUACUAGGAUGUAUUAUAUCAUGUUUUGGAUUGAGUUCAUGAAGUGUUUUAGGUAAGAAUUUAAAGAAAUUGUAAGGUGCUAUAUGUGUAUGUAUGUAUCCUUAAAAUGGUAUGUGAUUUGAGCAUAAAAUGAACUUUAAAACUCAUGAUUUUGACAAUUUUGAUAAAAGUAUCGAUGUUAGGGACUAAGGUAUCGAUACUGGACCAAAUGAACAAUUUUAAAAUCGACAGAAUUCUAAUUUGGCGUCGGAAUUUUUCAAUAAGUAUCGAUAAUUCUUUAAAAACAUCGAUACCUUUUAGAGGUAUCGAUAAAAUGAUUUGAACCAAAUUUUCCAAAUUUGACAGAAUUUCAAACUAGUAUCGAUAUUUAAUUUGGUAUUGAUAUCAAACUCAAAAAUACCGAUACCUAUUACAAAAAUAUCGAUACCUUAUCCAGUUUUUGAAAAUUUUAUAAUUUGGUCAUUUUUCAUGCUCAAAUCUAACCCUUUGUAUUUAAAACUCGAUUUUAGUUCCGUUCUCAUUUGUAAUAAUUAUUGUGUGUAUAAAUAGAAUCAUUCAAUGUUUUAAAUUUUACAUGAUUAUUUCGUUUUAUUUGUAGCAUCUUAUAGCUUAGGUCCAAUGACCAGACCGAGUAUAGGGUGUUAUAAGUGGGAACUUAUUACAAAUUAUUUAAUCCCUUGUUAUAUAUGUCUAAUUGACCCCAAGUUGAAUUUAUCCUCGAUCUAUUUAUGGAUUCAUUCACUUGUGGCGUUCAUGGUGUGACCUACUGUUAGCUCAAUCGAUUAACUAAAAUAGCCAAGAAGGGGUGAAUUGGCUAUUAAAAUUUUUUGUGGAAGCAAGGAUAAGAAAAUGAGACCUAGAACACAAUGAUUUUAGAUUUGUUCAGCCCCGAUUGCCUACUCUACUACCUUAGCUUUCCACCACUAAGGAUUGUCCUAAAUUCACUAAUUUGAUGAACCUUUGAGGACAAUGCUUAACCUUACAACUCCCAUAGGAUUUGUACCAGCCUGUUUUUCAGUGGUGUCGGAAACAGUGAUUUUGGGACCAAAAAUUCGAUGAGUAAGUUCAUAUAAUUAGUAUUUAAAUUAUACGAGUCAAUAGUAAUUUUUAUAUUGAAUUUUGAUUUGAUGAUUUUAAAUAAUUGAAUUAAAGGUUAGUUUAAGUGAUUUAGUUCAAAAGUCAAGUGGUUAUUGAAAACGAGCUAUUAGGACCUCGUUUCUGUAAUAUAAAGUCGUAAAUAUUUUUAUUAAAUAUUUACAGAGUCAUAUUAUACAUGAAUUGAAGUUGGGUCCGGUAAUUUUGAUGAUUUUUUUGCUUAAUUGAGGUAAAAGAGAUUAAAUUGUAAAAGAAGUAAAAGUUAAUUGCUAUAGAUUUAAAAUAGUAAAAGGAUCAAAAUGGAAAUUGAACCAUGGUAAAAGAGUCCAAGCGGUGGUGGCAUGAUAAAAUCUACUAACUUUUGGGGCUAUUUGCUCAUUUAGUCCUAAUUAGUUUAGGAUUAAAUUGAAAAUAAGCUAGUUUAGUUAAAAUUUAAAAUAAUUGAAGAACCAAUUGUGCAAUUAAACCCUCAUUAAUUAGAAAUUAUACCAUUUGAGUAGAUAAUGCACAGUUUGCAAGGCUAAUUACAUGAAAUUUUAUUGAAAUUGUAAGGUUAUAAUAGUAAUUUAUGAAAUUAGGUAAAAUGAAAAUAAAGCAAAAGCCAAAAUUGGCUAUCAUAUUUUUGUUUCUUCCUUAAAAAUUUGAAUCUACCAUUGUUGAGAGGAGAAACCUUCGACCAAGCUAGGUUUCGUCAAUUGAGUAGGUAAAUUUUGCCCCUUUUCAGUAAUUUUUAUGUUUUUGAUCUCGUAUUAGCUUAAUCUAGCUAACUCGGGGAUUAAUUUGUAAAGCUAUCAAAUUUUUUGGAUUAUGCCAUUGAAUCUUGAAGUUUUAUGGUAGAAUAUGAAGCUUGGUUUCUAGAUAAGACUAUUUUGUAAAGUAAUUUUUGGUAAUUUUAAUGUUUAAGGACUAAAUCAUUAAAGUGAUAAAAUUACAGAAACUUGUUGUGUAAUAACAGAAAUUAUAGGCUGUAGAGAGGCCUUAUAUAGUUCAGAUAAACUUUAUUUUAUUCGAAAUUGGUUAAAUUGCUUGUUUUGGGCUUAGGGACUAAAUUGUAUAAAAGUAAAAUGUUGGGGGCAAUUUUGUAAAAAUGUAAAAAAUAACUUAAUUGCAUAAAAUGAAUAAAUGUUGCUGUUAGAAGUAGUGAUUUGUAUGGAAUUAUUAUUUUAUAUCCUAUACGAGUGGAAAAUCGAGGAUAAGAGGAUAUUACCAAAUAGCCCCUGUACUUUGUCGUUGUUAUAGUUUAGUCCGCUAAGUUCGUACGGUUUAAUUUUAGUACAUAUUUAAAUCUAUUAUAGGAACUUAAUUGCAUAAUAUUGGAUUAUAUUGAUGUGUGUAAUUGGAAAUGGAAAUAAUGAAUUGAAAUGACAUUGAUCACUAAUUUAGAUAUUAUGAGUCGUUACUGUAAAUCAAUCCUGUAAGUUCAAGCAUUUAUAAAUGCUUCUAAUAAUCCUUAUACUCUUUCUUAGUAUACUAUUAUUGAAUGUUAUAUUAUAUACUGAAUGAGAUUAGCAAGCGUUACCCACUGAUAUAUUGAUUGGUGCUCAGACGAACGAUACCUACUGAAUCUACUGAAACGUAUGCGCUUUCGAGCCAUACCUACUGAAUUUACUGAAACGUAUGCGCUCUCAAGCCAUACCUACUAAAUCUAUUCAAAAUAAUGCUCUAUUGAAUAAAAGAAUCUACUGAUAUACUGAAUAAAUCUCCUGUAACGUUAUCCACUGAUAUACUGAAGAAGCUCAAUCGAGCGAAAUCUAGUGAUAUACUAAGUAAAGCUCAAAGGAGCAUUAUCCACUGAAUAUAUUGAACUACUAUACUGAUAGCUAAUUUAUGAUAAAUGUUGUGUUUUAUGGAAUUUUAACAUUUAAUUUUAAUUGAUUACUAUGUUUAAUUGGAAAGGUUUAUCAAUAUAUACAAAUGAACUUACUAAGCUUUAUUCAAGCUUACCUGUAUUUGUCUUAUUUUGUAGAUUACGUUUUGAAGGCUUAGAAGUUCAGAUUAACACAAGAAAUCACACUAUCCGGGAGAUCUUUGGUAGACUUUGUUUUAGUUUGGUAUAUAGGGUGUAACACCCCAAACCCGGCCUAAAAGUUAUGGCCGAAUUUGGCGGUGUCACAUUGAGUUGUUUAGCGUAAAACUUGUUGUUGUUGAAAUCUUUAAAAUCAAUUAAUCAUUUUGUUAUUAAGC